GUGCUCGCUUCGGCAGCACAUAUGCUGAAAUUGGAAUGAUACAGAGAAGAUUAGCAUGGCCCCUGCACAAGGACGACAUGCAAAUUCGUGAAGCAUUCCAUAUUUUU
rnacentral:snRNA from 1 species